AUUUAACUGACGAAUCUCAAAUAGGACGAAACAUUCGUCAAGCUGGAU
rnacentral:hammerhead_ribozyme from 1 species